UGCAACCCGACUCCACGAAGCUGGAUUCGCUAGUAAUCGCGCAUCAGCCACGGCGCGGUGAAUACGUUCCCGGGCCUUGUACACACCGCCCGUCAAGCCAUGGGAGCCGGGGGUACCUGAAGUGCGUAACCGCGAGGAGCGCCCUAGGGUAAAACUGGUGACUGGGGCUAAGUCGUAACAAGGUACC
rnacentral:rRNA from 1 species